GGAGCGUUCUGUAAGCCUGCGAAGGUGUGCUGUGAGGCAUGCUGGAGGUAUCAGAAGUGCGAAUGCUGACAUAAGUAACGAUAAAGCGGGUGAAAAGCCCGCUCGCCGGAAGACCAAGGGUUCCUGUCCAACGUUAAUCGGGGCAGGGUGAGUCGACCCCUAAGGCGAGGCCGAAAGGCGUAGUCGAUGGGAAACAGGUUAAUAUUCCUGUACUUGGUGUUACUGCGAAGGGGGGACGGAGAAGGCUAUGUUGGCCGGGCGACGGUUGUCCCGGUUUAAGCGUGUAGGCUGGUUUUCCAGGCAAAUCCGGAAAAUCAAGGC
rnacentral:rRNA from 1 species